UUGGAGGUGAAAAUUACAUAUAUAUUUUACUGUUUUAUUUCAACAUUUCUCCAUGAAAAAAGCUGUUGUACGAUAUUUGUAUUUGACACAAAUGAGUGGAUACGGGUAUAUUUUAGUAGUGAAAAUAUGUUCAAUAAAACGUACUAGACCAUAAAAUAUUAAUCACAUUGAUCUAGUCAUAAAUAACACAACCUAUUCAAAUUGUCGGCAAAUAUCAGUACAAUUAUCUUUAUGGUUUCAAAACUGUUUGGAUAUAUCGUUUUAUACAUGUAUUCAAGACACACAAGUACUUGCAAAUAUACGUCAGCAGUAUCAGCCGGAAUCCAAUAAGCUUGCGAGAUCAUAUAAAAGCUUUGGGACACUGACUUGUGCAAUUUCCAAUAGUGCUCAUAAAAUAGAACAUGGAUGCUUUUUCCUUACAUUUGUGUUUUCAAGUAGAGGGAAAUCCGUUAUUAGAGACAGAUCUCUGGAAUAAGAUACAAACGAUACCAUGUUUUGCGGUAGACUCACAGACGCCACCGGUGUUAGUAAAUGUUCCCAAUGGAAACAAGAUGUUGGUUACAACUGGAAAGGAUGGAGGCCACUGCGUGAUGCAUAUAUACGGUCAUGGUCUAGUCACAUUGGACUUACAGUAUGACGUCACUUCCGAAGUAGCCAAAAAGACUCUCAGCACACAGGCCUUCCCGAAAAAUAAAGCCAUAGAGUCACAAAUACAGACUAUACUUGGGGAAAGGUGCCAAUACACACGGAGAGCUGGAUUUGUUUCCAAAAGCUUCAACAGAUCGAAAUGUGUUCCGUACAGCAGCUCUUUUGACGCCUACAAUGAAUAUCUUAUUCAUGAUUUGCUUUAAUACAUAACAUGGCUGCGACGCAGGAAUUGAUUAGCGUUCUCGCCUAUAAUAUUUACCAUCAGCCAUUAAGAGAGGCAAGGUGUGUCCAUAUUUCCAACAUGGGGAUGACAGGAUGUACGAGUCGGAACCACUAGAGCUUGUUGAAGAGGUGAAUUCGUCCUGGCAGAAUAUAAAGAUUUACCA
rnacentral:misc_RNA from 1 species